rnacentral:misc_RNA from 1 species
UUUCACCGAGGAGAAAUCGAAAAGAAACGAAUAAUAAAACGGGGAAAGGGAAAGCGAGAGGCACACACACCUGUGACGUAAACGUGAGAUUGCCCCUUUUGUGCGUGUGUGUGUGCCUCUCUUUUUUUCUUCAUCCUGUUCGCGUGUUUCUGCUUUUUUAUGGACCGUGCUGUUCCGAAACGUUAUUGCCUCCUCCCCUUCUCCCCCCUCUUAGUUGCUUAUGUGUGGUGGCCUCCCUCUUCUUCAUUCUCAUUCCCAUCUACACACACACACACACACACACACAAAGAAAGCGAUUCCCUGUCUGCCUGCCUGUCUGUCUGUCUCUUCACCGCUUCGCAUGGUCCGAUGACGUCUUGCACAGUGAGUGAGGGGGCCCUAACGGUGUUGACGCCUCCCCCUCACCCCCUUUCCAUAUGCCCCUUUUCUGUGCUGCUGCUUGACAUCGCUCGCUGCUUUUCGUUUUGAACGCACCGUUAUUUGUAUAUGCAGGUGUGUGUUCACUCACGCUGAACCCACGCUCGUUUCGUUUCUCCUUGUCUAUCCGCUAGCGUGCUCUGUCCUCUCUGUGUAGGAGCUGGUGGUGGCGCGGAGGGGCCUUUGAUGGAUGGAGAGGUGAGCGAUGAUGGCUUGGCGGAGUUGGUGUUUCGUGUCUGUCUGUUCAUGCGUCACGAACUUUGAUACUCUUGCGUGAUGACGAGGAGCAACAGGGGCGGCAGAAACAAGCCAACCUCAUCGGCCAACAACACCUCUCCCCUGCCCUUUCCAGAAAGCAUUGGACACAACUGAAGUCAGAGUAGUGGAAGGAAAGAAAGUGAAGAGACCUCCGCAGCGCAACACAACAGAGUUCGCGACGCCGUCCUCGCGACAGGCACCCUGGGUAGACCCGCAGGCGGAGGUUCACGUGCUUCCUCGUGAAUAAACUGAGAGAAAAAACUCGCGGAACUCAUAGAGAGGACGAACAGACGAAAAGUAGGUGAGAGAGCAAGAUGAUAAAACCGAAAGCAACACACCACCUUGAAUAAAUUCACCUUGCUCUUCUUGUUGACGCGCAACAGCGUGUGACUGCCUGCUGACACGUCACAUGAAUCCCUCUACCCCGAUCCCUUCUCGCUUGCGCUGUCUUCAUCUCGCUCCCCAUCCCUUUUCCUUUCCCUUCCCCUUCACGCUGGUGGGUUUCGUCUCAGUGCUACCGCGCUGUUCGAGCUUUUUUUGUUCGUUCUCUGCUGCCCUGUCACACUCUUUCUUUCUGCUUAGCCUGUGUUUGUGUUUUUCUCCUUCGCUCUUGAUCGGUUUUGCUGAUGCGCGCCCUUUCCCCCCUCCUCUCCCACGCACCGACUCGCACACACGUUUUUAUGCGCGCCUGUGUGAUAAUCGGCGCAUUCUCUUUUCUUUUUGGUGCCUUUGUUUGCCCUCUUCGCUUCUUUGCCUUUGUGUGUACAGUGACACUCCUCCU